AAUUGUGGGCCGUAAUACCCUAAAAGUACCCAAUCUUAUCUGAUCUUGGAAGCUAAGCAUUGUCAGUCUUUGUUAGUAUUGCAAUGAGAGGCCACUAACAAAUGCCAGAUGCUAUAAUAA
rnacentral:rRNA from 1 species